UACGUAGGAGGCGAGCGUUGUCCGGAAUUACUGGGUGUAAAGCGCGCGUAGGUGGCAGGCCAAGUCUGUGGUGAAAGCGCCCGGCUCAACUGGGCAUGGUCCAUGGAAACUGGUCAGCUGGAGGACGGUAGAGGCGAGUGGAAUUCCCGGUGUAGUGGUGAAAUGCGUAGAGAUCGGCAGGAACGCCCAGGGGGAAACCAGUGGACUGGGCAGGAGCUGACGCUCAGGUGCGAAAGCGUGGGGAGCGAACCGG
rnacentral:rRNA from 1 species